rnacentral:hammerhead_ribozyme from 1 species
ACGUAGCUGACGAGUCCCAAAUAGGACGACAGGCGCGUCCUGGAU